AUUGAACGCUGGCGGCAUGCCUUACACAUGCAAGUCGAACGGUAACAGGUCUUCGGAUGCUGACGAGUGGCGAACGGGUGAGUAAUACAUCGGAACGUGCCUAGUAGUGGGGGAUAACUACUCGAAAGAGUGGCUAAUACCGCAUGAGAUCUACGGAUGAAAGCAGGGGAUCGAAAGACCUUGUGCUACUAGAGCGGCCGAUGGCAGAUUAGGUAGUUGGUGGGAUAAAAGCUUACCAAGCCGACGAUCUGUAGCUGGUCUGAGAGGACGAUCAGCCACACUGGGACUGGGGCACGGCCCAGACUCCUACGGGAGGCAGCAGUGGGGAAUUUUGGACAAUGGGCGAAAGCCUGAUCCAGCAAUGCCGCGUGCAGGAUGGAGGCCUUCGGGUUGUAAACUGCUUUUGUACGGAACGAAAAGCCCUGGGUUAAUACCCUGGGGUCAUGACGGUACCGUAAGAAUAAGCACCGGCUAACUACGUGCCAGCAGCCGCCGUAAAAC
rnacentral:rRNA from 1 species